AACCUGCUUUAAGGAACAGGGCAAGAGAGACAUCUCAAAGACUAUCCUUAUUUUAUUCUGUAGUGCCAUUUCAGCUGCUCUGAAAGCUACCAGUGACACAUAUUGUGCUGUUCAUACCUUGGUAUACUCUUGGACAAGAACCACAUCCUGUGUAUUAUUGAUAUUUUAUGACAAAAAGCCCAAGUUCUGAAGGAGUGUCCUACAGACCCGUGACUCCUGCCGCAGUCAGCAGUUAUGAUUUUACACUCCCUGCAUAAACCCAUCCAAGAAAAAUUACCUGGAACUUAACAUUGUGGCAGCACCAUGGCCAGACAGCUUCCUGCUGGGCCCAAAAUGUCCUUGUGCUUCUGAAGCAAUGCGAAGUGUCCUGGCUAGGUGGUCAGAGCAGGAGGGAUAGAGGGAGCGUAGUCCUUACACCACUGGAUAUAAGCAGUGUUCAGAAGUGGGGAAGAGGAGGAAAAAGAAGAUCCCCAGAACACACAAAGUAGGCUGUGGCACUUCCACUCCCCUUCUCAGUGACAUCCCUUCAAGAGGCAGCUGUCUCAGGCACCUCCAAGUUUACCUGUGUCCACUCCUGGCUCAUUCUGGUGGAGAGGAACUUUUCCCCAGAAGAAAUUCCGUAUUUGUGACUUUCAGGGCUGCAUUUUUCUUCCCUUUCCCUGUUAUUCAUCUUGUUAUGGAUGAGAAUCGUGUUGGUGCGAGCAACUGUGUUUGAACUUGGGACAGAACUGAAGC